CCGCCCACCUUCGCCCGAAUCCGCCAUCUUGCUUACCCCCGCUGGGCUGCUGCCGCCUUGCUCCCAGCGCUGGUGCCGCUUGCGAAGAAAUCGCCGCCGGGAAAGGUUGGAUUUUUCCCGUCCUAGACAUCGCCGCCGCCUUGCUUCUGUCCUGGCGUAAAUGUCCGCGCCCGCCGCCGUCUCUGACUCUCCCUAGUCCCCCGCCCGAACCAAACUCAGAGCCGGAGAGUUGAACGGGAGGAGCCGCCGCAUCAGCUUGUUCGCCAUGUCGUCCAGGGGGAUCGCGCGCGGCCGCCUCGCCGAGGAGCGAAAGGCCCGGCGGAAGAACCACCACCACGGUUUCGUCGCCAAGCCGGAGACGGUGACCGACGGCACGGUGAACCUCAUCCGGAAAGCAAGCGUCCCGCGCCUCGCCGAUCGAUUGGUUGAUUGAUUGCUGCUUUGGUGUGGACCUUGUGAAGCUGCUCAAAAGGUUAUGAUUGUCCAUCUAAUGGGACCGUAGGCGAAUGGGGAAACUUGCAAUCUUGGCUGCUGUGGAAUGGCUACCACGAGCACGACACCGCUGCCGACAGCAAGGCUCCCUGGACUGGGCCGUCACGUUAAUUCCGGACAGAGUGCCACAUGUGUUUUUAGAUGCUUAUAGAGACAAAAUAUAAAUGACCUGGUUCAUGAAUCAAUGGAAUUAUCGGGGCAGAUGACUGAACAACAACUCAAUGGCUCAAGUAAUAUCUGUUGUGAUGGAACGAAGAUUUCCUCAAGUAGUGAUAAAUGCCAACAAAGGCCAACUCUUCCAAGCAAGCCACAGCCAGCAGCUAACACUCAGAGAACCAAUGCU